AUUGAACGCUGGCGGCAUGCUUUACACAUGCAAGUCGAACGGCAGCACGGGCUUCGGCCUGGUGGCGAGUGGCGAACGGGUGAGUAAUGCAUCGGAACGUACCGUGUAGUGGGGGAUAACGUAGCGAAAGUUACGCUAAUACCGCAUACGCCCCGAGGGGGAAAGUGGGGGACCGCAAGGCCUCACGCUAUAUGAGCGGCCGAUUUCGGAUUAGCUAGUUGGUAGGGUAAAGGCCUACCAAGGCGACGAUCCGUAGCGGGUCUGAGAGGAUGAUCCGCCACACUGGGACUGAGACACGGCCCAGACUCCUACGGGAGGCAGCAGUGGGGAAUUUUGGACAAUGGGGGCAACCCUGAUCCAGCCAUUCCGCGUGAGUGAAGAAGGCCUUCGGGUUGUAAAGCUCUUUCGGCGGGGAAGAAAUCGUAUCCCCUAAUACGGGGUAUGGAUGACGGUACCUGAAGAAGAAGCACCGGCUAACUACGUGCCAGCAGCCGCCGUAACAC
rnacentral:rRNA from 1 species